GAGUUUGAUCCUGGCUCAGAUUGAACGCUGGCGGCAUGCCUUACACAUGCAAGUCGAGCGGAUGACGGGAGCUUGCUCCUUGAUUCAGCGGCGGACGGGUGAGUAAUGCCUGGGAAUCUGCCUGGUAGUGGGGGACAACGUUUCGAAAGGAACGCUAAUACCGCAUACGUCCUACGGGAGAAAGCAGGGGACCUUCGGGCCUUGCGCUAUCAGAUGAGCCUAGGUCGGAUUAGCUAGUUGGUGGGGUAAUGGCUCACCAAGGCGACGAUCCGUAACUGGUCUGAGAGGAUGAUCAGUCACACUGGAACUGAGACACGGUCCAGACUCCUACGGGAGGCAGCAGUGGGGAAUAUUGGACAAUGGGCGAAAGCCUGAUCCAGCCAUGCCGCGUGUGUGAAGAAGGUCUUCGGAUUGUAAAGCACUUUAAGUUGGAGAAGGGCAGUAAGUUAAUACCUUGCUGUUUUGACGUUACCGACAGAAUAAGCACCGGCUAACUCUGUGCCAGCA
rnacentral:rRNA from 1 species